UAGCUCAGAUGGUAAAGAAUCUGCUUGCAAUGCAGAAGACCUAGGUUCAAUCCCUGG
rnacentral:tRNA from 1 species